rnacentral:rRNA from 1 species
CCUACGGGUGGCAGCAGUGAGGAAUAUUGGUCAAUGGGCGAGAGCCUGAACCAGCCAAGUAGCGUGCAGGAUGACGGCCCUAUGGGUUGUAAACUGCUUUUAUGCGGGGAUAAAGUGAGGGACGUGUCCUUCAUUGCAGGUACCGCAUGAAUAAGGACCGGCUAAUUCCGUGCCAGCAGCCGCGGUAAUACGGAAGGUCCGGGCGUUAUCCGGAUUUAUUGGGUUUAAAGGGAGCGUAGGCCGUGGAUUAAGCGUGUUGUGAAAUGCAGGUGCUCAACGUCUGCACUGCAGCGCGAACUGGUCCACUUGAGUGUGCACAACGCAGGCGGAAUUCGUCGUGUAGCGGUGAAAUGCUUAGAUAUGACGAAGAACUCCGAUUGCGAAGGCAGCUUGCGGGAGCACAACUGACGCUGAAGCUCGAAAGUGCGGGUAUCGAACAGGAUUAGAUACCCGAGUAGUC